rnacentral:rRNA from 1 species
UACGGAGGGUGCAAGCGUUGUCCGGAUUUAUUGGGUUUAAAGGGUGCGUAGGCGGUUUAUUAAGUCAGUGGUGAAAGACGGUCGCUCAACGAUUGCAGUGCCAUUGAUACUGGUAAACUUGAGUGAGAUUGAGGUAGCUGGAAUGGAUAGUGUAGCGGUGAAAUGCAUAGAUAUUAUCCAGAACACCAAUUGCGUAGGCAAGUUACUAAGUCUCAACUGACGCUGAGGCACGAAAGUGUGGGUAUCAAACAGG